UGAUGUCUGUAGGUAUUUUCGUCCUCGCUAGUCACACAAUUCCUUAGGUUUGGUCAAUAUACUUAUCCUUUGAUUUCUCCAAUAUGUUCCUUCCUGAUUUUGUUUGAUGAUUUGCUAGGUUAUGGGAUUGGAUCUCCAUUUUCAGGAUUCUUAGCUAAUAAGUAUAUUUUGCGGAAAAAUCUCUGUUGAGUUAUGUUGUGCACAUCCAAAUCCAAGCAAUGUAAGUGACCUAGAAUUUCACUGGUGUUAUGGUACACCUUAUACAAUUUCUAAAUUCCAAUACCGUUCCUGUGUAGCUGGAUACUCCAUGGGGCAAAGUUGAAGCUUUGUACAUCACUUCUCUACCUGUUUAUUAAUGUUUCUUCAUGUUUGGCAGUGAUCUGGGUUUCCAUGUACUUGAUAGAUGCAUUCCUUAUGUGUUCCAUCUAUGCAUCUAUGUUUCUGCCCAUAAAUGUACUUAUGAGCUGGCUCCAUUUUUUACGGCUUUCCCGUGGCAAUUUGAAAAGUACCCUUUAUUCCCGUACAAAGGGCUAUACAUGCAUUUAAAGAAGUGCACAUUUUCUAUAAACAUAAGCAUUGUCUUACCCCCACUGCUCUCUGGCGUGCAGCGAAGAUUUCAUCCUCAACCUCCCUCACGGCCCCAGAUUCGGCUACUUUCCAGUUUUGUUAGUUUUCUUCUUGGUAGCACUGAACACCAUGGAAACAUGGGCGUAGUGGCCACCCACAUGCAUUUGUCGUCCUCCUUAAAAUUCAAUUAGAUUAUAUACAAAUAUGCAGCCAUGUUUACUUAAGAUCCAAUUAGAUAAAUGUUGUUUAUUUUUCCUACGGAUAGGGCCAGUGCGUAAAUUAUAUUUGGCAAGUCUGUUUAUUUGCUAAGUUUCCUUUAGAGGAUAUCAGAAGCCUGGGCUAUAUGAUCCUUAUUCCACAACUUCAACAUAAGAACUGUUAGGUGGAACAUUUUGGGUUUUAUGAAUAUUGACUUGUCAAUGCCGAACACUGUAGGAAAUUAAUAAGAGCAGUUCAAUGCGUGAAUGGAACAAAAACAUUGUAAUUUCGAAAUGCACAGAAUGAUAUUAAUAAUAUCUAGCAUCUCCGAUAUAGCACUAGCAAUCUAGCAUACAAUCAGACUACAAAAUAGCACAAUUUCUAGAUAUUUCUACUAGUUGUACUUUUUUCAGAAUUCCCGAUCUUUUAACUUUAAAUACAUUAUAUUUCUAUUAGACUUCCUUUUAUUUUCAAUUUGCAUAUAGCUUCUCUAGCAUGACACUUUGGAGCUACUGAGCUAUCAGGAUAAAGAUAAAAAGUAUGGCAUGUCAACCAAUAUAGACAAAACAACUUUGGACAUAAAGUAUACUUGAGACCAAAAUUAAGCUAAAAUAACAUCACAUAUUCACAUCUUGCUUUUUUUCAAAAACCCAAUUCCCCUCUAUAUAUUAAUUGCUUGGUACAUCAUAUAGCUUGGAAAAAACAUGGCUAUCUAUCUUUGUUUGUUCAUUUGCUUUGUUUCACAAUUUCAUACCCCAAACAUGAAGUGAUUCAAAGAAUUGCAUAUUAUACAUAGGCCGUUUAUAAGUCAUUUUCCUUCAAACUGCAGCAAAGUUAUGUAUGUUCCAUUGACCAUUCCUACUUAUCAAGAACAUAAGUUGAUAGUGUUGACUGUAGAAAACUCAUAGGAGGAACAUGAGCCACUUAAAAAAAUCAGCAAAGCUUUAGACCUAGUUGGGAGCCCUUAUUAUCCAUUUUCACUAUGACAGGCUUUUCAUCUUGGACUGGCUGCUUGACUGGAACACUAGGGCUCGCUGCUUCAUCAAUUUCAUCCACAGAACGUUCGCUUAGGAUAUCAUCCUUAUUACUAUCUACAUUAGAUGCAGACACCCCGAGGAUCGACCUCUGGAAGUUACUGAGCUUCUCGACAUGAUCGGGGUGGAUGGUCAAUGGAAGCGAUAUGAAAUGCAAGCAAUCUAGCAUGUUGGAUGGGUGAUAAUGGAAAUUUUCUUGAGGACAAACCCGUGCAUAAGUUUUGUGAUAAACCUGUUUUAUGAGAGUUAAAGCUGUUUUUGAGAGUUAAACCCAUGCAUAUGAAUGUAUUUUUUGUAGAACUGGUCGAAAUAUUUUUUGUGAGAGUUAAAGCUAUUUUCUGGGGGGAUAAACCCGUGAAUAAGUUUCUCAUAUGUAUAGACUAAUUAAUAGGAUGGCAAUUUAAGUUAAUUGGAGCUCUUUUUAAGAAGCGGUGGUCUGCUUUGGUUUCUUGUUGUUUGCCUAUUCUCUUAAAAACACUUGACUGACUGCAUAUAUACAUCAAUAAUAUGGGCAGUUGACUAUGGCGUUUUUAAGUGAAGAGUUUCAAAAAUCUAAUAUGACAAUGCCUAUUUUUCAUUGAAAAACAAAUAGUACCUUAUUUACUAUUUAGUUUUCAAGCUAGAAUAAUUUGACUACAUGCUUCCUGAGGUGCCUUCUGUUUUUGAAUAGUCAUAGAAUGCUCCUGAUUACGAGAUGUUCCUUUGUCACUAUUUGAAGUUCUGCCUAGGGUGGCCUCUGUCUUGGUUUACAGCUUCAUAUGACUACCUAUUUAUAACAUCUGUAGGUUCUGUUUGAACCGUCUCAAAUCACAUAGAGAUGUUAAAUUUUCAAUAUGUUGCCUUACGGCCGUGUGCCAUCACCAUGUUUACUCCAGAAAAGUGGAAUGUGUAGAGUUUCUGUGUUGAUUAGUCAAAUAUUUUCUUUACCUUAAAGAUUGUCCCCAUCUAUGUUCCAGGUUGUGGCUCCGCUGCAGCCUGCAGAUAUGCCCAUUGCCAUUAAGCAUUUCUAUCUAUAUGCUUCUACAGAGUAUUUGCCUUAUGUACUAUAUGUUGAUGAAAUAAUUUCCUUAUAAGCUGGGAUAAGGCGUUUGUAGUUGGUAUUUGUACUAUAAGCUUGAUUUUUUGGUUCAUCUCAUCUCUGGUUAUUUUUUCGGUUUUUGUGUUUCUGCAACAUAUUAUCAUUAGCAUAUAAAAUGUCUUAUGUUUCUUGUUUUCAACAAUUAUUCUUUGGCAGGGAAGACCAUGAUAACACUAAGAUUAUCAAGAAAGGAUUCAGAGCUUUUUCUUAAUCCAAAUUACCACACAUGAUGCAAAAUUAACAACCACAACUUUGAAAUAUGGAUGAUGGUGCUUAUUAUGUGCUAGAAAUCAAAUAUGAAAAGGAGAAGAUAAUGUUUGCGAAGGUGUGUAUACUGAACAAGCAUCCUGAUUGAUGUGUUUCACUGUUGUUCCUUGAUGUGCCCUCAUGCAGCUGUGUCCAUAUAUACUGAUUGUUAUACUUAUUGGUGUGCGAGUUGCAGGAGAGGGGAGAGACAUACGGGUUGAUUCUGGGUAAACUUUGCUUAAUUCAUUGGAGAAAAUGCUCGAUAGAUCUCAUGGAUGGAUGAGGUUGUGGCAGUUGUUCUCGGGUGCAAUAUCUAUCUUGAUCGAUGAGGGCACAUUAGAAGCAGAAGAAGAGGAAACAUUUGGGGCGUCUAUGGCAUUGAACAUUCAGUGUUUCUGUAUUGUGUACAUGCAUAGCCAAUUCAGUAAUUAGAUGGCCUUUUCAACUGUACUGGUGCUGCUACUUUUCACAUGCUAGCUUCUUUGAAAAGCGCCAACAGUGUGUACAAAAUGUAAAGAGUCCAUGUUGAAAGAACAGAAGUAGAAGCGGAGUUGAUGUAUUAAAGGUCAGUCAGGGAAUUCAGUCUCGAUUAGCUUAACUAAUGAUGUGUGAGUUGAGACUCACGUCAUUUUCAAAGUAACGGAAGUACAAGAGAUUACUUGAAAAUACACAUUUUUAAUGCGACAUGGUCUUCAGUGCAAUUUUAUACUGCCAAAUUAAAAUGUGG
rnacentral:lncRNA from 1 species